rnacentral:rRNA from 1 species
UGGCUCCUUUUGGUGUCAGUUGACUUGAUUGGGCGGGUCCAAUAUCAGCCGGAUUCCCCUUGAGAGGCUUUGGGGAGGCCUGACGGUCUCACCCAAUGGCUUGGGGUUCUGCCGGCUGUGAGGGGUGGCGGUUAACUCACUUUAAGCAAUCAAUUCUGAAGACAGCUCUAUUGGCUAGCAUUGCUGGCUGUAGACUGAACAAAUACAGACAACUCUCAACAACGGAUAUCUUGGCUCCCGUAACGAUGAAGAACGCAGCGAAAUGCGAUACGUAGUGUGAAUUGCAGAAUUCCGUGAACCAUCGAAUCUUUGAACGCAAAUUGCGCUCGAGGCUUCGGCCAAGAGCAUGUCUGCCUCAGCGUCGGCUACUACCCUCAACUAAGUUUCCUAUGAAAGACUAGGGGAUGCCAGUUGGAUAUGGCAGUCCGGUUUGCCUUUCAGGUUGCCGGUCAGCUGAAAUAUAUUCACGCUCUGGGGGCUGCUUUCCUUGAAAGGCUACUUUCAAGGGGAGGCGAGUUCCGAUUUGGUAGGUGACCUUUGCCGGUUACAUGCCUUCGUUGCUCGCUAAGCUUCCCAAUAGUCGUUGUGCAGGACGCCUUUUGGCUUUCGACCUGAGGUCAGGCAAGGACACCCGCUGAACUUAAGCAUAUCAAUAAGCGGAGGAAAAGAA